rnacentral:rRNA from 1 species
GACGAACGCUGGCGGCGUGCUUAACACAUGCAAGUCGAACGGAAAGGCCCUGCUUUUGUGGGGUGCUCGAGUGGCGAACGGGUGAGUAACACGUGAGUAACCUGCCCUUGACUUUGGGAUAACUUCAGGAAACUGGGGCUAAUACCGGAUAGGAGCUCCUGCUGCAUGGUGGGGGUUGGAAAGUUUCGGCGGUUGGGGAUGGACUCGCGGCUUAUCAGCUUGUUGGUGGGGUAGUGGCUUACCAAGGCUUUGACGGGUAGCCGGCCUGAGAGGGUGACCGGCCACAUUGGGACUGAGAUACGGGCCAGACUCCUACGGGAGGCAGCAGUGGGGAAUAUUGCACAAUGGGCGGAAGCCUGAUGGAGCAACGCCGCGUGCGGGAGGACGGCCUUCGGGUUGGAAACCGCUUUCGCCUGUGACGAAGCGUGAGUGACGGUAAUGGGUAAAGAAGCACCGGCUAACUACGUG